GGCCGCGCCAUGGCGCGUGCCGGCCAUCCCCCGGUCCCCUUGGAGUAUAAGGGCGAGCCCCCCGACCCACCUGACGAACCCUAGCCUCAAAAUCCCCUCUCCCUCGCUCGUUUUCCUCUCCUCGUAACACACCCGAGCGCAACGUCGCCGUCAUCGUGUCGAUCCCGCGGCCACGUGCCUCCCCGCGCCGAACCACCAUGUCCAGGAAGCGCGCCGUCAUCACCUUCGUCGACUACACCAACAGAUCGGGGCGUAGGCGCUGCAUCGACAACACACACGUCUUCUUCCUCCGCCACGGCCGCCGGACGACGCCGUUCGAUCCGCACCAUCCCGGCCACCCCGACCUCUUCGACCUCGCCGUCGUGCUCACGACCCCGAGACCGGCGCUGAUGCCGCUGAGUACGACUACGUCACUGACGACCCUUCUUCCUGUACAACAGAGCUUCCAG
rnacentral:rRNA from 1 species